GUAAUGUAUGGGGAUCUGCCUGAUGGCGGGGGAUAACUACUGGAAACGGUAGCUAAUACCGCAUAAUGUCUACGGACCAAAGCGGGGGACCUCCGGGCCUCGCGCCAUCAGAUGAACCCAUAUGGGAUUAGCUAGUAGGUGAGGUAACGGCUUACCUAGGCGACGAUCCCUAGCUGGUCUGAGAGGAUGAUCAGCCACACUGGGACUGAGACACGGCCCAG
rnacentral:rRNA from 1 species